rnacentral:rRNA from 1 species
CAAGUCGAACGAACCUUUCGGGGUUAGUGGCGGACGGGUGAGUAACGCGUGAGAAUCUGCCCUCAGGAGGGGGAUAACGACUGGAAACGGUCGCUAAUACCCCAUAUGCCGAGAGGUGAAAUGAAUUUCGCCUGAGGAUGAGCUCGCGUCUGAUUAGCUAGUUGGUGGGGUAAAGGCCUACCAAGGCGACGAUCAGUAGCUGGUCUGAGAGGAUGACCAGCCACACUGGGACUGAGACACGGGCCAGACUCCUACGGGAGGCAGCAGUGGGGAAUUUUCCGCAAUGGGCGAAAGCCUGACGGAGCAACGCCGCGUGAGGGAUGAAGGCCUCUGGGCUGUAAACCUCUUUUCUCAAGGAAGAAGAUCUGACGGUACUUGAGGAAUAAGCCACGGCUAAUUCCGUGCCAGCAGCCGCGGUAAUACGGGAGUGGCAAGCGUUAUCCGGAAUUAUUGGGCGUAAAGCGUCCGCAGGCGGCCUUGUAAGUCUGUCGUUAAAGCGUGGAGCUUAACUCCAUUUCAGCGGUGGAAACUACAAGGCUUGAGUGUGGUAGGGGCAGAGGGAAUUCCCGGUGUAGCGGUGAAAUGCGUAGAUAUCGGGAAGAACACCAGUGGCGAAGGCGCUCUGCUGGGCCAUAACUGACGCUCAUGGACGAAAGCCAGGGGAGCGAAAGGGAUUAGAUACCCCUGUAGUCCUGGCCGUAAACGAUGAACACUAGGCGUCGGGGGAAUCGACCCCCUCGGUGUCGUAGCCAACGCGUUAAGUGUUCCGCCUGGGGAGUACGCACGCAAGUGUGAAACUCAAAGGAAUUGACGG